rnacentral:rRNA from 1 species
AACGGCCAUACCAUGCUGAAUAUGCCGGUUCUCGUUAUAUCACCGUAGUCAAGCAUCAUUGGGCGCGGUCAGUACUUGGGUGGGUGACCACCUGGGAACACCGCGUGCCGUUU